rnacentral:rRNA from 1 species
UACAGAGGGUGCGAGCGUUAAUCGGAAUCACUGGGCGUAAAGGGCGCGUAGGCGGCCGAUCAAGUCGGGGGUGAAAGCCUGUGGCUCAACCACAGAAUUGCCUUCGAUACUGUUUGGCUUGAGACCGGAAGAGGUAAGUGGAACUGCGAGUGUAGAGGUGAAAUUCGUAGAUAAUUCGCAAGAACACCAGUGGCGAAGGCGGCUUACUGGUCCGGUUCUGACGCGUGAGGCGCGAAAGCGUGGGGAGCAAACAGG